rnacentral:pre_miRNA from 1 species
CUGACCGCUGUUUGGAUUGAAGGGAGCUCUGCAUCUUGAUCUAUUACUAAUUAGUUUCCUCUUCCUUCUGCUGCAUGCAAGCCUGGAAAUCAUUUGUGGGGCCCUCUUAGAUCUAGCCAUGG